rnacentral:rRNA from 1 species
GAUGAACGCUGGCGGCGUGCCUAACACAUGCAAGUCGAACGGAGAUUACGGACGGAAGUUUUCGGAUGGAAGACUGUAAUUCUUAGUGGCGGACGGGUGAGUAACGCGUGGGCAACCUGCCUUAUACAGGGGGAUAGCAGCUGGAAACGGCUGGUAAGACCGCAUAAGUCGGCGAGACCGCAUGGUUUUGCCGGGAAAUGAGCAAUCAGGUAUAGGAUGGGCCCGCGUCCGAUUAGCCAGUGGGCAGGGUAAAAGCCUACCAAAGCAACGAUCGGUAGCCGGGCUGAGAGGUCGGACGGCCACAUUGGGACUGGGCCACGGCCCAAACUCCUACGGGAGGCAGCAGUGGGGGAUAUUGCACAAUGGAGGAAACUCUGAUGCAGCGACGCCGCGUGAGUGAAGAAGUAUUUCGGUAUGUAAAGCUCUAUCAGCAGGGAAGAUGAUGACGGUACCUGACUAAGAAGCCCCGGCUAACUACGUG